rnacentral:rRNA from 1 species
GAAGCCGGAAUUGCUAGUAAUGGCAGGUCAGCAUACUGCCGUGAAUACGUUCCCGGGCCUUGUACACACCGCCCGUCACACCAUGAGAGUUGGGAAUACCCGAAGCCUGUGAGCUAACGUAAGAGGCAGCAGUCGAAGGUAGAAUCAAUGAUUGGGGUGAAGUCGUAACAAGGUAGC